GUUCUCGUAGCUCAGCAGGAUAGAGCAAUCCCCUCCUAAGGGAUAGAUAUGGGUUCGAGUCCUAUCGGGGACACCA
rnacentral:tRNA from 1 species